GGUUUGGCACAAGACUUCCUCAGCAGGACAUGUAACCCACAAAAUUUAGCCAGUAUCCAGGGCUGCUCACAGCUUUGCUUCUUGUGAGAUUUAACGACGAUGAUGGUCUUAAAAUGGUUUUACCACAAGAAGGAAUACAUCUGUUGUCUUCCCCUGAGGCCUCACACUGCCAGUCUGAGGAGUUUACAACUAUAUGAUAAAUCCAGAGGGUUUACCACAGAUCAUGGGGAGAAAAUGCAGAUUUGAUAUGAGAAGAGCCAAUAUGUAACACAACGGAGAGACGGAUGGACUACAAACCACACUGAAUGUAUUCUCACCUGAUGAAAGGUCUUGAUAUCGCCAGGACGGUCCGGAUAAACCA